GCUUACGGCCAUACCACCUUAGGCACGCCCGAUCUCGUCUGAUCUCGGAAGCUAAGCAGGGUCGGGCCUGGUUAGUACUUGGAUGGGUGACUGCCUGGGAAUACCAGGUGCUGUAAGCA
ensembl:rRNA 5S_rRNA 5S ribosomal RNA